AUACGUAGGUGGCGAGCGUUGUCCGGAAUUACUGGGCGUAAAGGGUGCGUAGGCGGCUCUGCAAGUCAGGUGUGAAAACCAUCGGCUUAACUGAUGGACUGCAUUUGAAACUGUGGGGCUUGAGUGGAGUAGAGGCAGACGGAAUUCCCGGUGUAGCGGUGAAAUGCGUAGAGAUCGGGAAGAACACCAGUGGCGAAGGCGGUCUGCUGGGCUCUAACUGACGCUGAGGCACGAAAGCAUGGGUAGCAAACAGGAUUAGAUACCCUGGUAGUCCAUGCCGUAAACGAUGAUUACUAGGUGUGGGGAGUCUGACCCUCUCCGUGCCGGAGUCAACACAAUAAGUAAUCCACCUGGGAAGUACGACCGCAAGGUUGAA
rnacentral:rRNA from 1 species